rnacentral:rRNA from 1 species
UACGAAGGGGGCUAGCGUUGCUCGGAAUCACUGGGCGUAAAGCGCACGUAGGCGGAUUGCUAAGUCAGGGGUGAAAUCCUGGAGCUCAACUCCAGAACUGCCUUUGAUACUGGCGAUCUCGAGUCCGGGAGAGGUGAGUGGAACUGCGAGUGUAGCGGUGAAAUGCGUAGAUAUCUGGAGGAACACCGGUGGCGAAGGCGGCAUCCUGGACCAAUUCUGACGCUGAGUGAGCGAAAGCCAGGGGAGCAAACGGG